GUGACGGUCCUGCAGAAAAACCCCGGCUAACUACGUGCCAGCAGCCGCGGUAAUACGUAGGGCGCAAGCGUUAUCCGGAAUUAUUGGGCGUAAAGAGCUCGUAGGCGGUUUGUCGCGUCUGCUGUGAAAACCCGAGGCUCAACCUCGGGCCUGCAGUGGGUACGGGCAGACUAGAGUGCGGUAGGGGAGAUUGGAAUUCCUGGUGUAGCGGUGGAAUGCGCAGAUAUCAGGAGGAACACCGAUGGCGAAGGCAGAUCUCUGGGCCGUUACUGACGCUGAGGAGCGAAAGGGUGGGGAGCAAACAGGCUUAGAUACCCUGGUAGUCCACCCCGUAAACGUUGGGAACUAGUUGUGGGGGCCUUUCCACGGUCUCCGUGACGCAGCUAACGCAUUAAGUUCCCCGCCUGGGGAGUACGGCCGCAAGGCUAAAACUCAAAGGAAUUGACGGGGACCCGCACAAGCGGCGGAGCAUGCGGAUUAAUUCGAUGCAACGCGAAGAACCUUACCAAGGCUUGACAUACACCGGAAACGUCUGGAAACAGUCGCCCCUUUUUGGUCGGUGUACAGGUGGUGCAUGGUUGUCGUCAGCUCGUGUCGUGAGAUGUUGGGUUAAGUCCCGCAACGAGCGCAACCCUCGUUCUAUGUUGCCAGCACGUUAUGGUGGGAACUCAUGGGAUACUGCCGGGGUCAACUCGGAGGAAGGUGGGGAUGACGUCAAAUCAUCAUGCCCCUUAUGUCUUGGGCUUCACGCAUGCUACAAUGGCCGGUACAAAGGGCUGCAAUACCGUGAGGUGGAGCGAAUCCCAAAAAGCCGGUCCCAGUUCGGAUUGAGGUCUGCAACUCGACCUCAUGAAGUCGGAGUCGCUAGUAAUCGCAGAUCAGCAACGCUGCGGUGAAUACGUUCCCGGGUCUUGUACACACCGCCCGUCAAGUCAUGAAAGUCGGUAACACCUGAAGCCGGUGGCCUAACCCCUUGUGGGAGGGAGCUUCGAAGGUGCAUCCGA
rnacentral:rRNA from 1 species